rnacentral:lncRNA from 1 species
CUCGCCCUCCCCCUCUCACCCUUCCCAUCCCUCACUUCUUUACUUCUCCCCUCACCCUCCCGCUCUUCCCAUCCUUCUCUCAUUUCUCUUCUGGCUGUACUGAUAAGAACACAGUGGAACUGACUUCUGUAUGUGUAGCACCUCUAAAGGAUGAAUGAACAAAGGGCUGUUUUCUCCCAAAUAUCCCGGAAAAGAGAAAAAGAGAGGUACGAGGCUGUGAACAACAAAGAUCUGGGUCACUCACUGAAGAGAGGUACGAGGCUGUGAACAACAAAGAUCUGGGUCACUCACUGAAGAGAGGUACGAGGCUGUGAACAACAGAUCUGGGUCACUCACUGAAGAGAGGUACGAGGCU